rnacentral:rRNA from 1 species
AUUGAACGCUGGCGGCAUGCCUUACACAUGCAAGUCGAACGGCAGCACGGGAGCAAUCCUGGUGGCGAGUGGCGAACGGGUGAGUAAUAUAUCGGAACGUGCCCAGUCGUGGGGGAUAACGUAGCGAAAGCUACGCUAAUACCGCAUACGAUCUAUGGAUGAAAGCGGGGGAUCGCAAGACCUCGCGCGAUUGGAGUGGCCGAUAUCAGAUUAGGUAGUUGGUGAGGUAAAGGCUCACCAAGCCGACGAUCUGUAGCUGGUCUGAGAGGACGACCAGCCACACUGGGACUGAGACACGGCCCAGACUCCUACGGGAGGCAGCAGUGGGGAAUUUUGGACAAUGGGCGCAAGCCUGAUCCAGCAAUGCCGCGUGCAGGAUGAAGGCCUUCGGGUUGUAAACUGCUUUUGUACGGAGCGAAAAGGCUUCCACUAAUACUGGGGGCUCAUGACGGUACCGUAAGAAUAAGCACCGGCUAACUACGUGCCAGCAGCCGCCGUAAUAC